AACAGGUUUUAGAUCUUCUUCAACUCUUGCUGCUAGCUACUUUACUUUGAAAGUUUCAAGUUUUAAUAUUUGCUGGGAAAGAAAAAAGAAGGGAAUUAUCAUUUGAAAGAGGGAUUGGAUCAAGAGAGUGAGAUUCCAUCACCAAGAGAGUUAGGAAGUAGGUCUUCUGGAGCGAGCAACAAAGAAGCAUGAUCUUGUAUGAUAAAGAUUUUAUGUAUUAAGUAUUAUAGAUAUAUGUUAAGACAAAUUAUUGAAAAAUGUUAUCUUUGAUA